UAAAUAAGAUAAUACUCCGCAGACAGUAGGUGCGAAAGCAUAACGGGGAACCAACCUACCGAGGAUUUAGAUAUUCGGUAUUUUGGAUAUAUUAAGCCUCUUCGUGUCUGGGAAGAGGCUUUUAGUUUUUG
rnacentral:sRNA from 1 species